rnacentral:sRNA from 1 species
UACAUAUAUGAUAGAUCUUGUCGGUCUUAACUUUUUUGCGGUUGGGGAGAUCGUCCAUCGCCGUCCACUGCCGCCGUCGUCACCGUCCAUUGCCGCCGUCGUCAUCGUCCGUCGCUGCCUCAUCACCAUCAACCCUAAUUGUGAAUGGGCUGGGGCGCUGGGCUUUGUAAAUUUGCUAAUUGGGUUUGUAAAAUUAUUAUUAUUUUUGGUGAUAUAAAAAGUUUGGGCUUAAAACAAAGCCCAUUAUCCUUUUUUCUAUUGUAAUUCGGUUCAAAUAAACCGAAAUAGUAAAAUAAUUGAUUUAAUUCGAAAU